rnacentral:rRNA from 1 species
AUUGAACGCUGGCGGCGUGCUUAACACAUGCAAGUCGAUCGGUAACAGGUGUAGCGAUACAUGCUGACGAGAGGCGGACGGGUGAGUAAUGCUUGGGAAUCUGCCUAUUAGUGGGGGACAACCCGGGGAAACGUCGGGCUAAUACCGCAUACGCUCUACGGAGGAAAGCCGGGGACCGCAAGGCCUGGCGCUAAUAGAUGAGCCCAACGUCGGAUUAGCUAGUUGGUAGGGUAACGGCCUACCAAGGCGACAAUCCGUAGCUGGUCUGAGAGGACGACCAGCCACACCGGAACUGAGACACGGUCCGGACUCCUACGGGAGGCAGCAGUGGGGAAUAUUGGACAAUGGGGGCGAACCCU